rnacentral:rRNA from 1 species
GGAUAAUAUAUUUGAGAGGCAUCUCUUGAAUAUCAAAGGUGAGCCAGUACAGGAUGGACCCGCGUCUGAUUAGCUAGUUGGUAAGGUAACGGCUUACCAAGGCGACGAUCAGUAGCCGACCUGAGAGGGUGAUCGGCCACAUUGGAACUGAGACACGGUCCAAACUCCUACGGGAGGCAGCAGUGGGGAAUAUUGCACAAUGGGCGAAAGCCUGAUGCAGCAACGCCGCGUGAGUGAUGAAGGCCUUCGGGUCGUAAAACUCUGUCCUCAAGGAAGAUAAUGACGGUACUUGAGGAGGAAGCCCCGGCUAACUACGUGCCAGCAGCCGCGGUAAUACGUAGGGGGCUAGCGUUAUCCGGAUUUACUGGGCGUAAAGGGUGCGUAGGCGGUCUUUCAAGUCAGGAGUGAAAGGCUACGGCUCAACCGUAGUAAGCUCUUGAAACUGGGAGACUUGAGUGCAGGAGAGGAGAGUGGAAUUCCUAGUGUAGCGGUGAAAUGCGUAGAUAUUAGGAGGAACACCAGUUGCGAAGGCGGCUCUCUGGACUGUAACUGACGCUGAGGCACGAAAGCGUGGGGAGCAAACAGGAUUAGAUACCCUGGUAGUCCACGCUGUAAACGAUGAGUAC